rnacentral:rRNA from 1 species
AUAUCACUAAGCGGAGGAGAAGAAACUAACCAGGAUGCCCCUAGUAAUGGCGAAUGAAGCGGGCAGAGCUCACGCCGCCAAUCUGGAGGUCUUUUUCUAACGACCCCCCGAAUUGUAGUCUAGAAAGGCGCCAUCGGCCGCGUCCGCCGCUCAAAUCCCUUGGAACGGGGUAUCGGAGAAGGUGAGAAUCCUGUGCCGUGGCGGAUAGCGGUCGCACGAUGCGUCCUUGCAGAGUCGGGUUGCUUGGGAUUGCAGCUUGAAGUGGGUGGUAAAUUCCAUCUAAAGCUAAAUACUGGCGAGAGACCGAUAGCGAACAAGUACCGUGAGGGAAAGAUGCAAAGAACUUUGAAAAGAGAGUUAAAGAGUGCUUGAAAUCGGCAAGAGGAAACCCGUUUGUGCCCGGCUUCGCGCCGUCGACUCAGCCGCGCUUCUGCGCGGUGCACUUUGUCGGCGCGGGUCAGCCGCGGCUCUCCCUGCUUCACGAGGCUGUUUGCGGGGCUUUACGGCGAGCAUUCAGCUGGGUCGCGGGGGUGGCUCCGGCUGACGGAACGGGCACAACCGACCCGUCUAGAAACACGGACCAAGGAGUCUGACACGUGUGCGAGUACCCGGGUGGCAAGCCCGCGUGCGCAAUGAAAGUGAAGGGCGUGCCCCGCCAACCGACCUUGAUCUUCUGUGAAGGGUUUGAGUGUAGCACAUGCGUCGGGACCCGAAAGAUGGUGAACUAUGCCUGAGGAGGGUGAAGCCAGAGGAAACUCUGGUGGAGGCUCGUAGCGAUACUG